rnacentral:rRNA from 1 species
GACGUAGGGCGCGAGCGUUGUCCGGAUUUAUUGGGCGUAAAGAGCUCGUAGGCGGCUUGUCGCGUACGAAGUGUGAAAACUUGGGGCUCAACUCCAAGCUUGCAUUCGAUACGGGCAGGCUAGAGUUCGGUAGGGGAGACUGGAAUUCCUGGUGUAGCGGUGAAAUGCGCAGAUAUCAGGAGGAACACCGGUGGCGAAGGCGGGUCUCUGGGCCGAUACUGACGCUGAGGAGCGAAAGCGUGGGGAGCGAACAGG